rnacentral:rRNA from 1 species
CGCGGCCUAUCAGCUUGUUGGUGGGGUAGUGGCCUACCAAGGCGACGACGGGUAGCCGGCCUGAGAGGGUGACCGGCCACACUGGGACUGAGACACGGCCCAGACUCCUACGGGAGGCAGCAGUGGGGAAUAUUGCGCAAUGGGCGGAAGCCUGACGCAGCGACGCCGCGUGGGGGAUGACGGCCUUCGGGUUGUAAACCUCUUUCAGCAGGGACGAAGCGAAAGUGACGGUACCUGCAGAAGAAGCACCGGCCAACUACGUGCCAGCAGCCGCGGUAAUACGUAGGGUGCAAGCGUUGUCCGGAAUUAUUGGGCGUAAAGAGCUCGUAGGCGGUCUGUCGCGUCGGCUGUGAAAUCCCGAGGCUCAACCUCGGGUCUGCAGUCGAUACGGGCAAACUGGAGUACUGCAGGGGAGACUGGAAUUCCUGGUGUAGCGGUGAAAUGCGCAGAUAUCAGGAGGAACACCGGUGGCGAAGGCGGGUCUCUGGGCAGUAACUGACGCUGAGGAGCGAAAGCGUGGGGAGCGAACAGGAUUAGAUACCCUGGUAGUCCACGCCGUAAACGUUGGGCGCUAGGUGUGGGCCACAUUCCACGUGGUCUGUGCCGCAGCUAACGCAUUAAGCGCCCCGC